rnacentral:rRNA from 1 species
UACGGAGGGGGCUAGCGUUGUUCGGAAUUACUGGGCGUAAAGCGUGCGCAGGCGGUUUUGUAAGCCAGAUGUGAAAGCCCCGGGCUUAACCUGGGAAUGGCAUUUGGGACUGCAAGGCUGGAGUUUGGCAGAGGAGACUGGAAUUCCUGGUGUAGCAGUGAAAUGCGUAGAUAUCAGGAGGAAUACCGAUGGCGAAGGCAGGUCUCUGGGCUAUAACUGACGCUCAUGCACGAAAGCGUGGGGAGCAAACAGG